rnacentral:rRNA from 1 species
CAGAGCCGCGGGAAUACAGAGGGUGCGAGCGUUAAUCGGAUUUACUGGGCGUAAAGCGUGCGUAGGCGGCUAAUUGAGUCGGAUGUGAAAUCCCCGAGCUUAACUUGGGAAUUGCAUUCGAUACUGGUUAGCUAGAGUGUGGGAGAGGAUGGUAGAAUUCCAGGUGUAGCGGUGAAAUGCGUAGAGAUCUGGAGGAAUACCGAUGGCGAAGGCAGCCAUCUGGCCUAACACUGACGCUGAGGUACGAAAGCAUGGGGAGCAAACAGGAUUAGAUACCCCCGUAGUCCCUGUCUCUUAUACA